GAUGAACGCUGGCGGCGUGCCUAAUACAUGCAAGUCGAGCGAACCACUUCGGUGGUGAGCGGCGAACGGGUGAGUAACACGUAGGUGAUCUGCCCAUCAGACGGGGACAACGAUUGGAAACGAUCGCUAAUACCGGAUAGGACGAAAGUUUAAAGGUGCUUCUGGCACCGCUGAUGGAUGAGCCUGCGGCGCAUUAGCUAGUUGGUAGGGUAAAGGCCUACCAAGGCGACGAUGCGUAGCCGACCUGAGAGGGUGAACGGCCACCAUGGGACUGAGAAACGGCCCAGACUCCGACGGGAGGCAGCAGUAGGGAAUCUUCGGCAAUGGGCGAAAGCCUGACCGAGCAACGCCGCGUGAAUGAUGAAGGCCUUCGGGUUGUAAAAUUCUGUUAUAAGGGAAGAACGACUUUAGUAGGAAAUGGCUAGAGUGUGACGGUACCUUAUGAGAAAGCCACGGCUAACUACGUGCCAGCAGCCGCCGUAAUAC
rnacentral:rRNA from 1 species